AGCGGGCCACUCCUCCCCAACGAGGUGCGCCUAUUCUGUAAGGA
rnacentral:ncRNA from 1 species